UUUUAAUUGGGGUCUUGUAUGAAUGGCUGGACGGGAAAAAACUGUCUUUGUAUUAAAUUUUGAAUUUAACUUUUAUGUGAAAAGGCUUAAAUAUUUUAAGGGGACGAUAAGACCCUAUAAAACUUUACAUUGAAACUAUAUUUAAUUGGUUUUUUAAAAAUUUAAUGUGGUUAUUUGUUGUGUUGGGGAGAUAAUAGUAAAAUUUAUAUUAACUGCUGGUCUAUAAAACAUUUAUUUAUGGUAUAAUUAGUAGAUCCAUUAUAAUGAUUAUAAGAGUAAGUUACUUUAGGGAUAACAGCGUUAUUCUUUUUGAGAGUUCAUAUCGAAAAAAGAGAUUGCGACCUCGAUGUUGAAUUAAAUUUUCUGUAUAAUGCAGGUGUUAUAUAAGAAGGUCUGUUCGACCUUUAAAUGUUUAC
rnacentral:rRNA from 1 species